AAAUUGAAGAGUUUGAUCAUGGCUCAGAUUGAACGCUGGCGGCAGGCCUAACACAUGCAAGUCGAACGGUAACAGGAAACAGCUUGCUGUUUCGCUGACGAGUGGCGGACGGGUGAGUAAUGUCUGGGAAACUGCCCGAUGGAGGGGGAUAACUACUGGAAACGGUAGCUAAUACCGCAUAACGUCGCAAGACCAAAGAGGGGGACCUUCGGGCCUCUUGCUAUCGGAUGUGCCCAGAUGGGAUUAGCUAGUAGGUGGGGUAACGGCUCACCUAGGCGACGAUCCCUAGCUGGUCUGAGAGGAUGACCAGCCACACUGGAACUGAGACACGGUCCAGACUCCUACGGGAGGCAGCAGUGGGGAAUAUUGCACAAUGGGCGCAAGCCUGAUGCAGCCAUGCCGCGUGUAUGAAGAAGGCCUUCGGGUUGUAAAGUACUUUCAGCGGGGAGGAAGGGAGUAAAGUUAAUACCUUU
rnacentral:rRNA from 4 species